rnacentral:rRNA from 1 species
AUGGAGAUGAUGCAUGAGGAGCAGCAAAGUCUAUGUUCUUUUUCUCGCUCUGAACAAGCAAUCAACGCGGCACAUGUGGAAGUUGUGAAUGGCACCGGUCUUGUCAUACUUAUGAGCAGGAGCACCGGCCACAUUACUCUUCAUGCCACUCUGAGCAGUUGGCUGCUGCUUGAGAUUGAUUUCCAUGUUGAAGGGAAGGGAGACCUGAUUGAGUUCCUGUAUAUGCAAGGAUAA